rnacentral:lncRNA from 1 species
AAUGUUCCAGAAUAUUCACAGGUGAAUAAAGAUUACCCUGUUGUCCCAUUUGAAUGCAAUGCCACUGCUAGGAGUGCCAGAAAGUUUGAUUACCUGGUCACCUUUGUUGCAAGAAUGGAACUUUGAGUGAUCUUCAUAAUGUUGAUAGAAGCUGGUUCAAUAAAGUAUUUCAAAGCUAGAAUGCUCCUCAGAGCACUGAAACUUUUGGUCAUAGAAGGAGACAUCUGCAAGUAAAUGACUUUAUGGUAAGCAUCAUAUUUUGAAGAGCUCCCUAACUGACCGUGAUAUAAUAAUGACACCUACAAACACUUAGCUUUGGGGAGGCUCUGAUGGAACUCAGAGAUCUGUAUGGUCAGAAAAAGGUCUGCUGAUGCCCACGUGAGUGAAAAGGGCAGCAUGCAAUAAUGUAUGAUGGUAGAAAGAGCACUGGCCAGGAACCCAAUGACCCGGCCAGCUGCGUGCUUACUGCCUUUGUGAUCUCAGACAUUCUCUGACCCCUUAGAGUUCAGUCUCAUCAGUAAAUGAAGAUGGAUGCUGGCAUCUGCUGUGUACCCUACUGGGCUGUGAACAUUUGAGAAAGCUUCACGAAUCCUUGACUAAACAACCAGUGUCUUACUGUUCUUGUCAAAAGGAGAAGACCAAGCUCCCAUGUGAAAGAUGCCCUCCCUAAACCAGGAGGAAAGAAACAUUCUUAUCACCAGAGACGGAGAACAGAGGCUGAGAGAAAUCUGUACAAACAGAUCUUGUGAAAAUAACCCUUAUCUUCUUUAGUCUCCCUAUCAUUAUGGUUAUUUUUCCACAAUUACAACUUUUGUUCAACCUAGUAUAUAAGUUAGGCAUUUAAGCCUGACCGCUUUUAGGGUCUUCAUUUUCCUGUGAGGGCUCCCAUAUGCAUGUAAAAAUAUCAAAUAAAAUUUGUAUGUUUUUCUCCUGUUAA